rnacentral:rRNA from 1 species
CAGGCCUAACACAUGCAAGUCGAACGGCAUCGCGGGAAAGCUUGCUUUCCUGGCGGCGAGUGGCGAACGGGUGAGUAACACAUCGGAACGUACCGGCUAGUGGGGGAUAACCCGUCGAAAGACGGGCUAAUACCGCAUACGCUCUUCGGAGGAAAGCAGGGGACCUUUGGGCCUUGCGCUAGCCGAGCGGCCGAUGUCCGAUUAGCUAGUUGGUGGGGUAAAGGCCUACCAAGGCGACGAUCGGUAGCGGGUCUGAGAGGACGAUCCGCCACACUGGGACUGAGACACGGCCCAGACUCCUACGGGAGGCAGCAGUGGGGAAUCUUGGACAAUGGGGGCAACCCUGAUCCAGCAAUGCCGCGUGGGUGAAGAAGGCCUUCGGGUUGUAAAGCCCUUUCGGCAGGGAAGAAAUCGGCGGGGCGAAUAACCCUGCUGGAUGACGGUACCUGCAGAAGAAGCACCGGCUAACUACGUGCCAGCAGCCGCGGUAAU